rnacentral:rRNA from 1 species
UGACGAGUGGCGGACGGGUGAGUAACGCGUAGGAAUCUGCCCAUCUGUGGGGGAUACCAGUUGGAAACGACUGUUAAUACCGCAUAAUAUCUGCGGAUUAAAGGUGGCCUUUGUGCUGCCGCAGAUGGAUGAGCCUGCGUUGGAUUAGCUAGUUGGUAGGGUAAGGGCCUACCAAGGCUACG